ACACAUGCAGUCGAGCGGCAGCGACACAUUGAACCUUCGGGGGAUUUGUUGGGCGGCGAGCGGCGGACGGGUGAGUAAUGCCUGGGAAAUUGCCCUGAUGUGGGGGAUAACCAUUGGAAACGAUGGCUAAUACCGCAUGAUAGCUUCGGCUCAAAGAGGGGGACCUUCGGGCCUCUCGCGUCAGGAUAUGCCCAGGUGGGAUUAGCUAGUUGGUGAGGUAAGGGCUCACCAAGGCGACGAUCCCUAGCUGGUCUGAGAGGAUGAUCAGCCACACUGGAACUGAGGCACGGUCCAGACUCCUACGGGAGGCAGCAGUGGGGAAUAUUGCACAAUGGGCGCAAGCCUGAUGCAGCCAUGCCGCGUGUAUGAGGAAGGCCUUCGGGUUGUAAAGUACUUUCAGCAGUGAGGAAGGGGGUAUCGUUAAUAGCGGUAUCCUUUGACGUUAGCUGCAGAAGAAGCACCGGCUAACUCCGUGCCAGCAGCCGCGGUAAUACGGAGGGUGCGAGCGUUAAUCGGAAUUACUGGGCGUAAAGCGCAUGCAGGUGGUUUGUUAAGUCAGAUGUGAAAGCCCGGGGCUCAACCUCGGAAUUGCAUUUGAAACUGGCAGGCUAGAGUACUGUAGAGGGGGGUAGAAUUUCAGGUGUAGCGGUGAAAUGCGUAGAGAUCUGAA
rnacentral:rRNA from 1 species